GUGAAUCAUCGAAUCUUUGAACGCACCUUGCGCCCUUUGGCUAUUCCGAAGGGCAUGCCUGUUUGAGUAUCAUG
rnacentral:rRNA from 1 species